rnacentral:rRNA from 1 species
GACGAACGCUGGCGGCGUGCUUAACACAUGCAAGUCGAACGGAAAGGCCCUGCUUUUGUGGGGUGCUCGAGUGGCGAACGGGUGAGUAACACGUGAGUAACCUGCCCUUUACUUUGGGAUAACUUCAGGAAACUGGGGCUAAUACCGGAUAGGAGCUCCUGCUGCAUGAUGUGGGUUGGAAAGUUUCGGCGGUUGGGGCUGGACUCGCGGCUUAUCAGCUUGUUGGUGGGGUAGUGGCUUACCAAGGCUUUGACGGGUAGCCGGCCUGAGAGGGUGACCGGCCACAUUGGGACUGAGAUACGGCCCAGACUCCUACGGGAGGCAGCAGUGGGGAAUAUUGCACAAUGGGCGGAAGCCUGAUGCAGCAACGCCGCGUGCGGGAUGACGGCCUUCGGGUUGUAAACCGCUUUCGCCUGUGACGAAGCGUGAGUGACGGUAAUGGGUAAAGAAGCACCGGCUAACUACGUG